rnacentral:rRNA from 1 species
CGUAGGUGAACCUGCGGAAGGAUCAUUCAUAAUAAGUGUUUUACUGCACUUUUUAAAAAUAGUACUCACCUUGUGUGCAAUGUUGUGUGGACUUUUUUUUUUAAAAAAAAGUUCAUACCUACACCAACCUAUAACCUUGAACCACUAUGCUCGUAGUACUAUUAUGAAUACUUAAUUCAAAAUACAACUUUCAACAACGGAUCUCUUGGCUCAUAGGCCUGAGUCGAACGCAGCGAAAUGCGAUACGUAAUGUGAAUUGCAGAAUUCAGUGAAUCAUCGAAUCUUUGAACGCACAUUGCACUCUCUGGUAUUCCGGAGAGUAUGCUUGUUUGAGUAUCAGUAAACACCUCAAAUCUCUUUCUUUCGAGAAAGAGAAUUGGACUUGAGCAAUUAGGUCCGUGAGCAAAAAGAGGCGGGUUGCUUGAAAUGCAGGUGCAGCUGGACAUUCUUCUGAGCUAAAAGCAUAUUUAUUUAGUCCCGUCAAACGGAUUAUUACUUUUUGCUCUAGCUAACAUACAGGUCGAAUGUUUCUAUAUGCUGACUGAUGCAGGAUUACCAAGUUUUACUAGCUAAAACUUGUAAACUCGAUCUCAAAUCAAGUAAGACUACCCGCUGAACUUAAGCAUAU